AUUGAACGCUGGCGGCAGGCCUAACACAUGCAAGUCGAGCGGAUGAAGGGAGCUUGCUCCUGGAUUCAGCGGCGGACGGGUGAGUAAUGCCUAGGAAUCUGCCUGGUAGUGGGGGAUAACGUCCGGAAACGGGCGCUAAUACCGCAUACGUCCUGAGGGUGAAAGUGGGGGAUCUUCGGACCUCACGCUAUCAUAUGAGCCUAGGUCGGAUUAGCUAGUUGGUGGGGUAAAGGCCUACCAAGGCGACGAUCCGUAACUGGUCUGAGAGGAUGAUCAGUCACACUGGAACUGAGACACGGACCAGACUCCUACGGGAGGCAGCAGUGGGGAAUAUUGGACAAUGGGCGAAAGCAUGAUACAGAAAUGCCGCGUGUGUGAAGAAGGUCUUCGGAUUGUAAAGCACUUUAAGUUGGGAGGAAGGGAAGUAAGUUAAUACCUUGCUGUUUUGACGUUAACAACAGAAUAAGCACCGGCUAACUUCGUG
rnacentral:rRNA from 1 species